UACAGAGGGUGCGAGCGUUAAUCGGAAUUACUGGGCGUAAAGCGUGCGUAGGUGGUUUGUUAAGUCUGUUGUGAAAGCCCCGGGCUCAACCUGGGAAUGGCAAUGGAUACUGGCAGGCUAGAGUGCGGUAGAGGGUAGUGAAAUUCCCGGUGUAGCGGUGAAAUGCGUAGAGAUCGGGAGGAACACCAGUGGCGAAGGCGGCUACCUGGACCAGCACUGACACUGAGGCACGAAAGCGUGGGGAGCAAACAGG
rnacentral:rRNA from 1 species